UAGAAAAAAGGUUGUCAUAGUUUUAAAAUUCCAUUUUUUGUAGGUUGCGAUUGUCUUUUGACCCAUUUUCUUUAAAUUUGGAGGCUUCUUUAAUCAUUCACUUCUUUAGUUUUCUUGAUAGGUUAAUAGCUUAUAUUGCAACACAUGGGCAUGGUGUAGAACCUAACCAAAUCUGAAGCAACAACUUGACACAAAGAAGGAAGCUUGGCUUGGAAGAAGACUACAUGUGUG
rnacentral:lncRNA from 1 species